rnacentral:rRNA from 1 species
AGAGUUUGAUCCUGGCUCAGGAUGAACGCUAGCUACAGGCUUAACACAUGCAAGUCGAGGGGCAGCAUCGCGAUAGCUUGCUAUUGCGGAUGGCGACCGGCGCACGGGUGAGUAACGCGUAUCCAACCUUCCCGCAACUGGGGAAUAACCUUGCGAAAGUAAGACUAAUACCCCAUGGUCUCCACGGAUGGCAUCUGAAAUGGAGUAAAGGUUUCGGCCGGUUGCGGAUGGGGAUGCGUCCGAUUAGCUUGACGGCGGGGUAACGGCCCACCGUGGCAUCGAUCGGUAGGGGUUCUGAGAGGAAGGUCCCCCACAUUGGAACUGAGACACGGUCCAAACUCCUACGGGAGGCAGCAGUGAGGAAUAUUGGUCAAUGGGCGGAAGCCUGAACCAGCCAAGUAGCGUGAAGGACGACUGCCCUAUGGGUUGUAAACUUCUUUUAUGCGGGGAUAAAGUUCGCCACGUGUGGCGUUUUGCAGGUACCGCAUGAAUAAGGACCGGCUAAUUCCGUGCCAGCAGCCGCGGUAAUACGGAAGGUCCAGGCGUUAUCCGGAUUCAUUGGGUUUAAAGGGAGCGUAGGCCGCCUUUUAAGCGUGUUGUGAAAUGUAGGGGCUCAACCCCUGCACUGCAGCGCGAACUGGAGGGCUUGAGUACACACAAAGUAGGCGGAAUUCAUGGUGUAGCGGUGAAAUGCUUAGAUAUCAUGAAGAACCCCGAUUGCGAAGGCAGCUUACUGGAGUGUAACUGACGCUGAAGCUCGAAAGCGCGGGUAUCGAACAGGAUUAGAUACCCUGGUAGUCCGCGCGGUAAACGAUGGAUGCCCGCUGUUUGCCAUUUUGGUAAGCGGCCAAGCGAAAGCGUUAAGCAUCCCACCUGGGGAGUACGCCGGCAACGGUGAAACUCAAAGGAAUUGAC